CCUGUGACAGGACCGAGCCCGUCGGCGUUGCCCUUGAAGGAUUCCAGAAGCAUAAGGACAGGUCUCCUCGCGCAGCAACCCGACGAUACUGUUCCCCGCCCUUUUAAGGGCUGCUGGAAGUCCUCAGCAGGAGCUGAAGCUGUGUAGCGACUGGGGCUGAGGGGCCUGCCCGGCCUGUCAGUAGUGACCCAGAGGAUGAGGAGGACAAAAUCAGUAUAACCAUGAUCUGUAAGGGUGGACAUGACUCAACGGCCAGACUGUGCCUGGCUAAUGGAUUCCUGCUUCUCAUACCUGACUCCAUCUAAGAAGGUUUAGCCCCUUAAGGAAAAAGUAUUUUCGCUGUUUCAGAGAGUCAAGUGACCGGAAGAAGAGGAUCCUGCCCUCAAAGGAUCUAGCAGAAAUGUGAUUAGACUUCGUGGUUCUGGUCUGCAAGAAGCAAAGAAUAACCAGCUGACUCCCACUGCCCCUGAAGACACCAGCUGAAACUGCAGCAAGAAACAUGGAGGUCAAAUCAACAUAAGGACUUCCUGGCUGAGAUUUGGAAAGUGGUGAAGGAGACCCUGGAUGGAGAGACUCCCGUGUCUGUCUGGGAGCCUGCCCUACUGCCUUCCUUGUGACAUUCCUGCCUCUGUUCCUACAAAGCUCUCCUCUUU